UGCCCUACAGUCCCCCGUCCGGGAACAAGGAGCUGGUAUCAGGCACAUUCAUCAGGCCCAUGACACCUUGCUUAGCCACACCCUCAAGGGAACUCAGCAGUGAUAGACAUUAAGCCAUAAGUGAAAACUUGACUUAAUUAAAGCUAAGAGGGCCGGUAAAACUCGUGCCAGCCACCGCGGUUAUACGAGAGGCCCAAGUUGACAGACACCGGCGUAAAGAGUGGUUAAGCUAAAACUUAAACUAAAGCCAAACAUCUUCAAGACUGUUAUACGUACCCGAAGACAGGAAACUCAACCACGAAAGUAGCUUUAUUUAAUCUGACCCCACGAAAGCUACGGCACAAACUGGGAUUAGAUACCCCACUAUGCCUAGCCAUAAACAUUGAUAGUAUUUUACACCCACUAUCCGCCCGGGUACUACGAGCAACAGCUUAAAACCCAAAGGACUUGGCGGUGCUUUAGACCCACCUAGAGGAGCCUGUUCUAGAACCGAUAACCCCCGUUCAACCUCACCCUUCCUUGUUUUUCCCGCCUAUAUACCGCCGUCGUCAGCUUACCCUGUGAGGGUCAAAUAGUAAGCAAAACUGGCACAGCCUAAAACGUCAGGUCGAGGUGUAGCGUAUGGAGGGGGAAAGAAAUGGGCUACAUUCGCUACAGUAGCGAACACGAAAGAUGAGCUGAAACGUUUAUCUGAAGGAGGAUUUAGCAGUAAGCGG
rnacentral:rRNA from 1 species